rnacentral:rRNA from 1 species
GCAGGCUGCAACCCGCCUGCGUGAAGUUGGAAUCGCUAGUAAUCGCGGAUCAGCAUGCCGCGGUGAAUACGUUCCCGGGCCUUGUACACACCGCCCGUCACACCAUGGGAGUCGGAAAUGCCCGAAGCCAGUGACCCAACUGCAAAGAGGGAGCUGUCGAAGGCAGGUCUGAUAACUGGGGUGAAGUCGUAACAAGGUAGC